rnacentral:lncRNA from 1 species
UAGUUGCAUAAACUUGCUGCCACUUAAUCUCAGCCUUUGAAGCCAUCCUCGGCUCUGGCCUCGGCUGGCUUGAUGCACCAACAAGCAGCCCAUGAGGUAUAAUAAAAGGACCUUCUCCAGGACAGCUUCCCGGGCAGCUGCCACUUUGCUUUUAAUUUCCCAAAUGCGUCACUCCCGUUGAGGGCUAGGGUAUCAGAGACCCCGUAGAAAUAAUGCACAAAGUACCCCCUCUGGGUAUUACCAGAUUUAGCAACUCACGCGAUGACUCUCCUAGGAAAUUCUAUAAAGGAACAGAACACAGAACCGACUAUGUUGGAGCAGGCAGAGAGAAGCAUAGGGUGCUAGAAAGAUGACUGACUCCAGGUUCAUGUCCAAACCACACGUUUUGAUGGCUGAAGCCAAAACGAGGGUGAAGACUGCGGUUGGGAAAUCUGGAAAAUAUUCUACAAGCCGUUUUCGUGCAAUAACUAUUUCAAGAGUCGUGGUGGGCGGCUCCCCAGGCACACACUCUGGGCACUUGCAGUCCUCCCUCCACCCCAGGCUUUGGAAAGUCCUGUAGCCUCCUUUCUCCAACUUAAUAGGCAGCGGUGGACGUGGCAUAUUCUGCCAGUACAGUCUAACAAUCAUCAGGCUGUGUUAGGGAAUUUGUGAACCUGGGAUAAUCAGUGUCAUAGCAUUUCCUCCUUACCCCCAAAGUCCUGGAAAGCUCUUUAGUAUCCCAUCAUAGCCUCUCUAGGGGUCUGAUUUAUGGGACUAGAAGAAAAACAUCAAAAUAUAUGGGAUUCGAUGACUACUGAUGAAUACAGUGACCAUGGAUGGAAUUCCGGCCAUGAUCGUGAUUAUGAAUUCUUCUCUCAUCUGUGCGCUCUGGUUUCCUCAUCUGUAAAAGGGGCAUAACCUUAGCACUGAGCCCCCAGGGCUGUACAGAGGAGGAAAUGAGCUUUUUUAUGUUAAGUGCUUAGUACACUACCUGGCAUAUAGGAACUGCUUUGUACCUGUUAGCCUUGACUAAUUGGAGGAACUAGGGGGAAAAAUGUAAUUCCUGUGUCUCAAAUACACCUAAAAAUAUAGUAAGGUCCCGUUAUAAGCCUCUUUGUAAAGGUUAAUUAUGCCAUAGGUCAUACGACGUGCUUUCCUCAGUGGUAAUCAGCAAUUUUUGCUCACGGUGACAAUCAAAGGCCACACUUACAGAGCUCCUUCUGUAUAUUAAAAUGUGAUUUUUUUGUAUAGUAGAAUGUGAGAUAUUUGCUUUACAAAGAACUUUCUCUUCUCAUUAGAGUCUUACAAGAUCCCUAUGAAAGAUUUCUUGCAGUUAAAUGACUUGCCCAAAGUCAUACAGGCAGAAAGUUAUGAAGAUUGCAUCAGAGUCCCCGAUCUGACUCUAGAUGUUGUCCUUUUUCAUUCCAUAUAUGGACUAGCCUUAUGCCACAUUGUCAUCCCCAUCAGCCAUGAAAAGGCAGAAAAUACGAAACGCAAAGUAACAGUGUGGGUUGAAUGAGCCCAUUUCUGUAAGUUCUUGAAUGCUACUCAGUUGAUAUGACUACAGCAGUUCAGAGUAAACUUUUCUUGUGAUUUGUAGUAAGAUAUGACAUUUAUUUAUUUAUUUGCUUUUUAGGGCCUCACCCACGGCAUAUGGAAGUUCUCCAGGUUAGGGGUCAAAUCAGAGCUACAGCUCUCAGCCUGUACCACAGUCACAGCAACAGGGGAUCUGAGCCACAUCUGGGACCUACACCAUAGCUCACGGCAACACCAGAUCCUUAACCACUGAGUAAGCCCAGGGAUCGAAUCCACAUCCUCAUGGAUACCAGUCAGAUUCGUUUCUGUGCCACAGUGGGACCUCUCUGACAUUUAUUUAUUUUUGAACCUUUAAAAAUACUACCAAUUAUUAACAAAAGUUGAGCUUUUAAAUUUUUCUUGCUUGGUAUUUUGGAGUAGGAGACAUGUCAUAAAUGAGUUUCAUGUGGAUUAACCCAGAAACUGCACAUAGUGUCUACAAGCUAUGUCAUAGUGUCAUUCAACCCACACUGUUAUCUUAAAGGAUUUUAGGCAUAUAUCAUGAUGUUCUUUUGAUACUUUAUCUCAGUGUUCCAUAAAAUUUCCUUGGUAUUCUCUUGAAUCUCAAGUCUGAUUUAGAUAAACUGAGUAGAAUGAACACAAAAAGUGAGGACCUGAGAUGCAGUCAGUUAGUGAUUGAUAAGGCUGUUCACUUUUACUGUGGUAAAGAGUAUUAUUGACCUUUGAAAAGAAUUUUGGAAAGAUAGAGAAGCAGAGAAAUUCAGUGAAAGAUGAUUACAGUGUUGAGGUAUAAGCCUUUCCUUGUCCUCAUCUUUGCCCUAGGCAAACUCAUCUGUGAAAUACCAAGGACAGAACUGAACAUUCAUUGGAAUUCAUGAUGAUACUUGCUUAAGGGAAGGUAACAGAAGGCUUUCGUUUCAGGACUGUAAUAUCACAUUUCUGCCACCAAUGGCACAUAAUUGGAAGAAAGGAAUCUGGCAGUCAAAUAUCAUGUCCCUAGUGUGACAGGAGCAGAAUCAAAGAUGAGAAGCCAAAAGUCAUCUCAUUUUCUCAUGUUCUUGGCAUGUUUUAACAAUUUCUUCUGACGACUAGAAUAAAUACUUAGAGAUCAGGGAGCUGCUUCUGAAGCUGAUAAAGGCCCAAAGAUGCUCAAAUGUAGCAUUGUUGUGGGCCUAACAGGUGGUAGAUCACAUCACCUAAGAACCAGACAUGGCCUUUGAAAAGCAGUUUUGUGUCAGAUGAUUGGACCAAAUAAAAGUUAGGAGAAGUUAGAAACCUACAAAUCUUUAUAAUAUUCAAAAGGAUAAAUAAGUAUUACUUAAGUCUGUUAUUACUCAUCUGUCCAAUGAAAUCAAGCAAGAAUUUAGGAAAUAAUCUCAGCACAAGAAAGCGCCAAAGAAUGAAAUAUAUUUGUGCUUAAAAUAAAAGGUUUGGUGUUAGCUACGUCCAGGUGGUUCUACAUCUAAUUGGUUUGUCAGAAUACAAGUAAUGUGAACAAUUCAUAUUUUUUUGAUGUUGCAGCACCCACCAAGAAUAUUUCCCAACAUUUUCUUACUGUACAAUUUGGCUUUCUUCUAUUAGAAUGUUUGUGAGUAGAAAUAUCUUCCCAUUCUUUCUAAUAACCAUGUCCAUUUUUUCUUUCACAAAAAAAAGUAUUACCAACCAGAAAAGAUCCUAGCAGACAGUUAUUUUUAAGUUUUCAUGGGUUCACUCAAACUAUUAAUUUAUCUUAUUUGUGUUGACCUCCAAAGACUACCUGAGUAAAUUAUGAAGGAAGAACCUGAAACCUAUUUGCUGCCCUGCCUUUCAGGAACUUUGUUGCUGCCUGUGUGUUUGGUUCAAUUCUGAAUGCCCAGGGCCCUGGGAAACGAGUUCUCCAUCUCACCUCAUUGUAGCAUGGCACCUCGUCAGUCCCCAGACCAGGAGCAAGCUUAGACACACAGAGCACACCCAUGUGGUUUGACAAACAGGUCAGCUUAACUGAGGAUAUUAAUUGAAAGAGAGAAGCAUAUAAAACACUCAAUUUGGGUACUCCAUUUUCUCAGAUGGCGUUUUAUGAAAACUGCUACACAUUUCCUUUCAAGUCAUCCUCAUAUUUAUUGGAUACGCCAGUGCCAAACAUCACGUGGCCAUUUGGGAACAAUAAUAUCUGCCCCAUUAGUGUUUUUAUAAGAAUCAAAGUCAGUAACUUCAGUCAACUCUAUGGCAUCCUAUAGACUCAACAUCUAGUAGGUACUGUUACACUUAACAGUCUCACAUUUGUUAGCAAUUUUAACUUAUCCUUUCAACAAUAAACUUCUAGGCCCAAGAUGGAGCCCCUCCUGCCAGGUGUGCCAGUUCAGCAAACCAAAAGAUAGAUAACUUUCUGGUUCCUGCAAAUGUUCCUCUUGACUGGGAAUGCAAUAUGGAUGCAGCCAAUCAAUUCCCAAACAGCAGGCCAACUUUGAGCCUUCUCACCCCAAACAAGGUUGACUCUGUAGCCCCAGCCAGUUAGAUAUUUUCUGUUUCUCUCAUCCUUGUUCUUGUAAAAUAAAGUUUGUAAACUCAUUCUUUGAGGCCACCAUCACCCUGAUACCAAAACCAGAAAAGAUACCACAUAAAAAAAGAAAAUUACAGGCCAAUAUCACAGAUGAACAUAGAUGCAAAAAUCCCCAACAAAAUACCAGCAAACUGAAUCCAACAAUACAAUACACCAUGAUCAAGUGGGAUUAUCCCAGAGAUGCAGGGAUUUCUCAAUAUCCACAAAUCAAUUGGUGUGAUACAAUGCAUUAACAAAUGGACGAAUAAAAACCAUAUGAUGUCUCAAUAGAUGCAGAAAAACUUUUGACAAAACCAACAUUCAUGUAUGGGAGAAAAAAAUACCUCCAGAAAGUGAGUGAGGGAAACCACUUCAACAUAAUGAAAGUCAUAUGACAAACCCACAGCUAAAUAGCAUCAUUUUCAAUAGGGAAAAGCUGAAAGAAUUCUCACCAAGAUCAAGAACAAGCAAGGAUCUCCACUCUCAUCACCUUUAUUCAACAUAGUUUUGGAAGACCUAGCCACAGCAAU